rnacentral:rRNA from 1 species
AGGACGAACGCUGGCGGCGUGCUUAACUACAUGCAAGUCGAACGGGGAUUAGUUGAUUGAGAGCUUCGGCAGGAUAUCGAUUAAUUCGAGUGGCGGACGGGUGAGUAACGCGUGAGCAACCUGUCCCAGACAGGGGGAUAACACUUGGAAACAGGUGCUAAUACCGCAUAAGACCACGGGAUCACAUGGUUCUGAGGUAAAAAGGAGCGAAUCCGGUUUGGGGUGGGCUCGCGUCCGAUUAGCCAGUUGGCGGGGUAACGGCCCACCAAAGCGACGAUCGGUAGCCGACCUGAGAGGGUGAACGGCCACAUUGGAACUGAGAGACGGUCCAAACUCCUACGGGAGGCAGCAGUGGGGAAUAUUGGGCAAUGGGCGAAAGCCUGAACCCCCAGCAACGCCGCGUGAGUGAAGAAGGCCUUCGGGUUGUAAAGCUCUGUUAUAGUUGACGAAGGAAGUGACGGUAGGCUAUAAGGAAGCCCCGGCUAACUACGUGCCAGCCGCUGC